rnacentral:rRNA from 1 species
AUUGAACGCUGGCGGAAUGCUUUACACAUGCAAGUCGAACGGCAGCACGGGGCAACCUGGUGGCGAGUGGCGAACGGGUGAGUAAUACAUCGGAACGUGCCCAAUCGUGGGGGGAUAACGUAGCGAAAGUUACGCUAAUACCGCAUACGAUCUACGGAUGAAAGCGGGGGAUCGCAAGACCUCGCGCGAAUGGAGCGGCCGAUGUCAGAUUAGGUAGUUGGUGGGGUAAAGGCUCACCAAGCCAACGAUCUGUAGCUGGUCUGAGAGGACGACCAGCCACACUGGAACUGAGACACGGUCCAGACUCCUACGGGAGGCAGCAGUGGGGAAUUUUGGACAAUGGGCGCAAGCCUGAUCCAGCCAUUCCGCGUGCAGGAUGAAGGCCUUCGGGUUGUAAACUGCUUUUGUACGGAACGAAACGGUCUGCCCUAAUACGGCGGGCUAAUGACGGUACCGUAAGAAUAAGCACCGGCUAACUACGUGCCAGCAGCCGCGGUAAACAUACUACG